CAGGGCGACUCAGAGACAAAACAAUGAAAAUAACCACACAAACACCUCCCUAAAGGGUGACCACCCCUAGGAGAGGUCCGAGGGCCAGCCCCGCUCUCCACAGGCUGAAGGGACAGUCCCCUAGGAAACCCUCCAGAAGGCAGCCUGGUCUGGGCCUUUGAAGGGUCAGGCCUGAACCUGGUCGAUCUCGCUCCAGGAUCUAUGGGGCUCAACAAACGGCCACACAGAAGUGCUGGAGAGCUAUGUGGACCGGGAGGACGCCGCUGGCCAUGGUGAGGGGGCAGCAGGUGAAACCGGACUGUGGCCAGCAGACUGGGUCCUGCACUGCAUGCUAAGCUCACCGACUUGGACGACAGUCCAACAGAAAUCUACCCUGCAGAUGUGUUCAACAUGGACUCCAGUGUUUUAAGUGCUGCUGUUAGCCGUGACAAGGGACCACCUUGAGCAUUCCUGAAGAGGGAACUGAAUACAUACUUCAAGGUGACUUCAAACAGCUGGCCCUGUGACGGCUGAAUGGGGAAAGAGGUAUAUAAAGGAAUUAUGUCUGCACUGAGCACGUUCAGACAUUUUUUUCUUACUAUUCCCUGAGGAACACAGCGUGACAACACUCACAUAGCACAUUGUCUCAGGCACUGUAAGUCACCUGUGAACAACCUAAAGCCCAGGGGAGCAGGUGCUGUCAGGGUGGGGCACUGCUGGACAGAGCCCUCGCCCGGCUCACACAGCCCUGGGUUCCAGCCCCAGCACUGUGAGAAUCAACACUGAAAAAUCCACGUGAGUUUACGGAGAGGCUCCGCAGCUACAGAGCCUUGGUGUCUGCGUGGGGGUCUUGGAACCAACCCCCCUGCAGGGAGGGAGGGAUAUCGAUCAUGAGCCACGAUAGAUAGACCUCAAAGGAGAGCACACCAAGGCCACAGGCCAGAUCUGCCCACUGCCUGGCCUGGCCUACCGUCUUCUAUGUCCCACAAGAUAAGAAACGUUUUUACAUUUUUAAAUGAUUGGGGGAAAUUUUAAAGUAGAGUAGUAUUUUGUGACUCAUGAAAAUCAUAUGACAUUCCAAAUUUCAGCGUCUUGGAGUUUUACUGGAACAUUCCAAGCUUGUUUGCUGUGGUUUAUGCUGCUUCUCCACUACAUGAGAGCUUAGGACCGGCACGCUGCUCAUUAUGGCGAGCUUGCCU
rnacentral:lncRNA from 1 species